UGGGGAAUAUUGGACAAUGGGCGAAAGCCUGAUCCAGCCAUGCCGCGUGUGUGAAGAAGGUCUUCGGAUUGUAAAGCACUUUAAGUUGGGAGGAAGGGCAGUUACCUAAUACGUGAUUGUUUUGACGUUACCGACAGAAUAAGCACCGGCUAACUCUGUGCCAGCAGCCGCGGUAAUACAGAGGGUGCAAGCGUUAAUCGGAAUUACUGGGCGUAAAGCGCGCGUAGGUGGUUAGUUAAGUUGGAUGUGAAAUCCCCGGGCUCAACCUGGGAACUGCAUUCAAAACUGACCGACUAGAGUAUGGUAGAGGGUGGUGGAAUUUCCUGUGUAGCGGUGAAAUGCGUAGAUAUAGGAAGGAACACCAGUGGCGAAGGCGACCACCUGGACUGAUACUGACACUGAGGUGCGAAAGCGUGGGGAGCAAACAGGAUUAGAUACCCCAGUAGUCCCUGAGCGGGCUGGCAAGGCGCAU
rnacentral:rRNA from 1 species